rnacentral:rRNA from 1 species
AGUGGAUGGGGAGCAACCUAGUUGUGCGUGUGUAAAGGUAGUGCCAAGAAAAGCGGUGAUCAUGAUGAAAAUCAAUUCCCGGUACCCGAAACCGACACAGGUGGGCAAGUAGAGAAUACUAAGGGGCGCGAGGUAACUCUCUCCAAGGAACUCGGCAAAAUGACCCCGUAACUUAGGGAGAAGGGGUGCCACCGAGAGGUGGUCGCAGUGAAGAGGCCCAGGCGACUGUUUAGCAAAAACAUAGGUCUCUGCAAACUCGAAAGAGGAGGUAUAGGGGCUGACGCCUGCCCAGUGCCGGAAGGUUAAAGAAGUUGGUCAGUCUUAGGAUGAAGCUAGCGACUGAAGCCCCGGUGAACGGCGGCCGUAACUAUAACGGUCCUGAGGUAGCGAAAUUCCUUGUCGGGUAAGUUCCGACCCGCACGAAAGGCGUAACGAUCUGGGCGCUGUCUCGGAGAGAGGCUCGGCGAAAUAGGAUUGUCUGUGAAGAUACGGACUACCUGCAUUUGGACAGAAAGACCCUAUGAAGCUUUACUAUAGCUUGGAAUUGUGUUCGGGCUUCCUGUGCGCAGGAUAGGUGGGAGGCGUAGAAGGUAUUCUUGUGGGGAUACUGGAGCCAACGGUGAGAUACCACUCUCAGGAGGCUAGAAUUCUAACUUAAUUAAGGACAGUUUCAGGUGGGUAGUUUGACUGGGGCGGUCGCCUCCAAAAAGGUAACGGAGGCGUACAAAGGUUCCCUCAGACUGGUUGGAAAUCAGUCGAAGAGUGCAAAGGCAGAAAGGAGCUUGACUGCGAGAAGUACAGUUCGAGCAGGGUGGAAACACGGUCUUAGUGAUCCGACGGUGCUGUGUGGAAGGGCCGUCGCUCAACGGAUAAAAGUUACUCUAGGAUAACAGGCUGAUCUCCCCCAAGAGUUCACAUCGACGGGGAGGUUUGGCACCUCGAUGUCGGCUCAUCGCAACCUGGGGCGGAAGUACGUCCCAAGGGUUGGGCUGUUCGCCCAUUAAAGCGGUACGUGAGCUGGGUUCAGAACGUCGUGAGACAGUUCGGUCCAUAUCCGAUGUAGGCGUGAGAAUAUUGAGAGGAGCCUUCCUUAGUACGAGAGGACCGGGAAGGACGCACCGCUGGUGUACCUGUUAUGAUGCCAAUUGUAAACGCAGGGUAGCCAAGUGCGGAGAGGAUAACCGCUGAAAGCAUCUAAGUGGGAAGCCCACCUCAAGAUGAGUAUUCUGGUGUAAGGUCACGGGAAGACGACCCGUAAAUAGGCACGAGGUGGAAGUGCAGAGAUGUAUGAAGCCGAAGUGUACUAAUAGACCGUCGGCUUGAUA